CGCUCGUUGCAUUAGACAGAUAGCCAGCACACCCCCGUCGUUCAUCGGGCUCACAACUGCACUCGCCUCGCCAGUUGUAUUGGAGAGGAUAGAUAGCUCUUCGCCAGAGAAGGAUUGCCCUCUUGAGAUGGGCUGUUCUUUCAUCUCUAUCUUGGUUCCAUCCUAAUGGAUCCAAAUCUAUGGCCGCCAAGCAAAUCACGGAUGACGAUGAACUGUGUCUUCUCCUGCCACUGUCAGGGCCUCAGCCCUAUGAACGUCAGAUACUUGUAUGCGGCUAUCUUCCUCCAGCUGGCGAACCUGUCUGCGUGGUUCGCACGAGAGAAUACCGUAUCGUAUUACCUGAAGCAGCGACUCAGCGGCGCCUGUCAGGGUGACCGGGGUUGUCUCGCGGCUGAAAGCGUGCUCGUGGCGAGCCAUGCAUUCUUUCUCUUUUUUAUGGCCAUGUUCUUCUCCACUGUACGCACCGGCAAGGUGAAUGAGUUGAGAAAUUUAUGGCACUGCGGGUGGUGGCCAGUGAAGAUUGCCCUCUUCAUGGUCUAUUUUCUCGUCUCUGUCUUGGCUCCAUCCUGGUGGAUCCAAAUCUAUGGAUAUUUCUUGUAGUUCAGCUCAUAAGUUUUAUGAGAUUUAUCACAAGGCUGAACUACAAAUUGUGCCAAACCAAUUACCAAGGAAGGUACCUCGUGGUGUUUGGGAUCUCUAUCUUUGCCAACAUUGGCUCUACGGGGUUGAUAAUAUUCAUGAUUGUCAAGCUCAGACACUACUGGCUCGACAUCGAGUUUCUUGGCACCACGCUGGUGCUAGUGUAUAUUAUGUGCGCUCUCUCAUUAAUAUCCAAGGCCAAUAAAUUAUUCAUGGAGCCUGGGAUAAUUUGUGGGUAUAUUUUGUUCCUCUUGCCUGUUAGCGAUUACAAGUGAGCCCAAAUCAAGCUGCUACCAGAAACACAAAGCAGGUCCACAUGCUAUUUGGAUAACAAUUUCCGUAAGUAUAUAUAUGGUCUAUUUCGAUCUAGGGUUCUUAUCUAGUAUCGUCAGUGAUAUUUAAAAAAACAUUAUGUUGACAUAUAUAUAUCAACACUGGUAGUGUUUUGUUUUUGGACUGCUCGGCACCAUUUAUUCUACUUUUUCCACAGGCAGCGACUACAAAUGCAUACAAGUAUGUUAAUUAUUCACAUGAAGAGAUUAGUCAUAACUAUCAACAAAACUGAUGAAUGUGUGUUUUAUUAACUGAAAAUGCCUCAAACCUUCCAUGCAGUUGUGGAACAUUAUAGAGUCAGAAGACGACGUACCAUAUGGCUUAGUACCAAGCAGAAAGAAUGCCAAAGGCCUAGGGCAAAUUAAGGGUGGCAAUUACUAGAGCCCCGGCCAGGACGUGUCUCUGUUCUUGGAAAGCCCGAAGAACGCCCUCUCAACGGCCUGAUUCCCGUUCUAACGCUGCAUCAGAUUAACAUCCACAGCACGGGAUGCAGCGGCACCAUGGGAUGUGAGCAAAGCGUGUAACCAAGGCGAAGACAACUCGAACACCAUUGUCCGGCAUCCUCAUCAAAGAACAAAGAGCUAGCUAGCGAGCAGCGAGGUAUCACAGUGCAAAUGCAAUACAGACGGACAUCUGAAUCGGCCACGUUGCAUGCAUGUAUCGGACGACGGGGAGACGAGAAGCACUAUUUAGAACAGGGACAGACACCAUAGCUUCUAGCUCUGUAUCGCUUGGGAGCUUGCUUAUGAAGACCGUCAUCCAUGGUCGGGCUUGUGCUUGAGCCUGCGUCUGCGUGCUAGCUGCCGGCGCGCGGGCAGCAUUUCCUUACCGGUACGCUAGGCUAACUAAUCUCAGCAGAACAUGGACGACGAUCGACGAAAGCAAUACUGUUGAUCUCUCGCCUCUCGCUCUCGUCCAACACGCGCUCACACUGCAAUACUGUUGGUUGAUCGUCUCGCCCGUUGUGUUGGAGAGGUCUUCUCCACGUUCAGUCCAUCUCUCUGCAGGCAGCCAAGCUAGCGAAGCACGGACGACAAUAAUGAACUGUGUCUUCUCCUGCCAGGGCCUCAGCCCUAUGAACGUCAGAUACCUGUAUGCGGCUAUCUUCCUCGUGGCGAACCUGUCUGCGUGGUUCGCACGAGAGAACACCGUAUCGUAUUACCUGAAGCAGCGACUCAGCGGCGCCUGUCAGGGUGACCGGGGUUGUCUCGCGGCUGAAAGCGUGCUCGUGGCGAGCCAUGCCUUCUUUCUCUUUUUUAUGGCCAUGUUCUUCUCCACUGUACGCACCGGCAAGGUGAAUGAGUUGAGAAAUUCAUGGCACUGCGGGUGGUGGCCAGUGAAGAUUGCCCUCUUCAUGGUCUGUUCUCUCAUAUCUGUCUUGGCUUCAUACUGGUGGAUCCAAAUCUAUGGAUAUCUCUUGUAGUUUAGCUCAUAAGUUUUAUGAGAUUUAUCAUAAGGCUGAACUACAAAUUGCGCCAAACCAAUUAUGAAGAAAGGUAGCUCGUGGUGCUAGGGAGGGAUCAAAUGACUCGGGUGGGAAGUGGGACAAGGAGUGAAGCGUCGAGGAAAAUUUAGAUAAAAAUUAAAAUUUCAUUAGAUUUAACCAUACCUACUAUGUAAAAGUUUGUUUAUUUUGAUGUAUAUAUAUAUAUAUCUAAACCU